rnacentral:ncRNA from 1 species
UAGUAGUUUGAUUCUAGCUAAUUUGUUAGCUUUUAUGAAGAGUUACAUGUAUAUUUAUAAAUUAUUUAUUUAAAUCAGUAAUUAGUAUUUAUAGAGUAAGGAGAUUUAUAUGGGGUAUUUUUUAAAAAUGGAUAAAUGUUGUGCCAGCAUUCGCGGUUAUACAAUUCAUUUAUGUUAAUAUUUUAGGUUAAGAAUUAUUAUUCGUUAAUUUAGGUUUAUAAUAUAUAAAAAUUUAGGUGGAAUUUAUUUUUCAGUUUACAAUCUUUUGAAAUUAUUUAUAAACCAUAAUUUAAAACUAGGAUUAGAUACCCUAUUAUUUUUGGCUUGUAUAGUGCAGGACAUUAUUAGUUAUAUACUAUGAAACUCAAAGAAUUUGGCGGUGAUUUAUACCUAUUUAGAGGAAUCUGAUCUUUAAUCGAUAAACCACGAUAUGUUUUACCUCUUAAUUAUUUGUAUAUCUCUAUGUAAUAGAAUGUUUUAUAAAGGAUAUCUUCUUUUAUAUCUUUAAAUUAUUUUAGGUCAAGGUGCAGUUUUUAUGGCGGAUAGUUUGGAUUACUUUAGUUUUAUUUAUUAAUUAAUUGAUUAAUUUUUUGUUAAUGAUAUUAAUUAGGAUUUAAUAGUAAUUUGAAUUAAUUAAUUCAUAUGAAUAAAGUUUUGAUUCAUGUACAUAUCGCCCGUCACUCCUAAUUAUAGGAUAAGUCGUAACAAAGUAAUUUUACCGGAAGGUAAGGUUAGAUAAAG